GUACCCGUUCCCGUGCUACUUAGACGCCAACUAUUUGGUAACAUACUAAAGUGAUACAUUGUUCAUAUUUGUUUAGAUUUUAGUUUAUAGAUAAUCUUUAAUUGGGAUGACACAAUUCUCCCAUUUGAUAGCAUAAUGCACUUCCUUGUACGCUGAGCUUGUUGACCCAUAACCACAUGAAGAGCAUAAAAAAGGAAGCCUGUUGGACAGUCUCAAGUAUUACUGCUGGAGAACACAUCCAGCUCAUGGAUGCAAAUUUUAGUCCAAUGGCAGAGAGUAUAUGGACUUGAAGAAAAUAACGUAGAGUAUAUGGACCGAAGAAAACAACCUAGAAAUAGUUGCUGGUUUAUGUGUAUAGUCAUUUCCUUUUGC
rnacentral:lncRNA from 1 species